rnacentral:rRNA from 1 species
UACGUAGGGGGCUAGCGUUGUCCGGAUUUAUUGGGCGUAAAGAGCGUGUAGGCGGCCAGGUAGGUCUGCUGUGAAAACUCGAGGCUCAACCUCGAGACGUCGGCGGAAACCAUCUGGCUAGAGUCCGGAAGAGGAGAGUGGAAUUCCUGGUGUAGCGGUGAAAUGCGCAGAUAUCGGGAGGAACACCUAGUGCGAAGGCAGCUCGCUGGGACGUAACUGACGCUGAGACGCGAAAGCGUGGGGAGCAAACAGG